ensembl:lncRNA LINC02217 long intergenic non-protein coding RNA 2217
UACCACUGAACUGUUUAAUAUUCUAGAAUUUAUGUUACACAGUAAAAGAUAGACAACUCUGUCUGCAGUUCUGGGACUGGGAUAUGCCUGUGCAUACACGCAUCUGCUCUGUUUUGGUUUCACUUCACUUUAGUUAUUUGAUUUGGUGUCUGCAAAACCCUGUGUGCACAUUUUUAUGAUCCUUGGGACAAUUUACUGCCAACCUUGCUUGAACUCUAAAAUAUGCCUCCAGUUUCGGAAAACCACAAAUUAUUUACCAAGGAGGCAAGGAAAUGGAGGUCACUGGGCUCAUUUCUUACAUAAUUUUCAACUUCCUUUCUGAGGCCUGACAUCUCCCGGCAGUCACAGUGAUGUCUUCCUUAGAUGGAUUCAAUAAUGGGGAAGAACAGAUGAAAAGUGGUGAAAGUUGCUAACUGCUGUGUUCCUCUGCUUGCUUUUCAUGCUGUGUGCCAGGAAUCAAAGCUGGAGGAGCGGAAGAUAUACAGGGAGUCCACGGAGCCUCCCCUGCAAGCAUCAGUACAGAAGUCGAUGAUAAUCUGGAUGCAAGCCCAGGAGUGUGGAGUCCACUGACUCAGAAGACCUGCAUCUAAGGAAUUGGCUGUUCUUAUCCUUAAGAAUGAUGACUGUGUUUCCAAUUCCAGUAGACCCUUUGAUGCGUUCUGAAUAAAUAUUCCUUUUGGAAUUGAA